AGAAUCAACGCUGGCGGCGUGCCUAACACAUGCAAGUCGAACGAGAAAGUGGAGCAAUCCACGAGUAAAGUGGCGCACGGGUGAGUAACACGUGACUAACCUACCCUUGAGUGGGGGAUAACCUAGGGAAACCUGGGCUAAUACCGCAUAAUACCUACGGGUCAAAGGAGCAAUUCGCUUAAGCGAGGGGGUCGCGGCCGAUUAGUUAGUUGGCGGGGUAAUGGCCCACCAAGACGAUGAUCGGUAUCCGGCCUGAGAGGGCGCACGGACACACUGGAACUGAAACACGGUCCAGACUCCUACGGGAGGCAGCAGUGGGGAAUUUUGCGCAAUGGGGGAAACCCUGACGCAGCAACGCCGCGUGGAGGAUGAAGUCCCUGGGAUGUAAACUCCUUUCGAUCGGGACGAUAAUGACGGUACCGGAAGAAGAAGCCCCGGCUAACUUCGUGCCAGCAGCCGC
rnacentral:rRNA from 1 species